GAUGAAGAACGUAGCGAAAUGCGAUACUUGGUGUGAAUUGCAGAAUCCCGUGAACCAUCGAGUCUUUGAACGCAAGUUGCGCCCGAAGCCAUUAGGCCGAGGGCACGCCUGCCUGGGCGUCACACGUCGUUGCCCCCCCCAUCUACUCCUUCGGGAUUGCGGGGGGCGGAUGAGGGCCUCCCGUGUGCCUCGCCGCGCGGUUGGCAUAAAUGCCAAGUCCUCGGCGACGCACGCCACGACAAUCGGUGGUUGCGAAACCUCGGUUGCCCGUCGUGUGCGGUCGUCGCGCAUCGAGGGCUCGAAAAAAUUGCCGGGUUCCGGCUCGGCUUUCAACGCGACCCCAGGUCAGGCGGGGUUACCCGCUGAAUUUAAGCAUAUCAAUAAGCGGAGGA
rnacentral:misc_RNA from 1 species